rnacentral:rRNA from 1 species
UGGGGAAUAUUGCACAAUGGGCGCAAGCCUGAUGCAGCAACGCCGCGUGAAGGAAGAAGGGUUUCGGCUCGUAAACUUCUAUCAAUAGGGAUAAAGGCUUAACAGCUUGAUAGUACCAAAAUAAGAAGCCCCGGCUAACUACGUGCCAGCAGCCGCGGUAAUACGUAGGGGGCAAGCGUUAUCCGGAAUUACUGGGUGUAAAGGGUGAGUAGGCGGCAGGAUAAGUCAUGUGUGAAAUGCCAUUGCUUAACGAUGGAGUUGCACAAGAAACUGUCCAGCUAGAGUACAGAAGAGGUAGGCGGAAUUCCUAGUGUAGCGGUGAAAUGCGUAGAUAUUAGGAGGAACACCAGUGGCGAAGGCGGCCUACUGGGCUGAAACUGACGCUGAGACACGAAAGCGUGGGGAGCAAACA